rnacentral:misc_RNA from 1 species
GAUGAAGAACGUAGCGAAAUGCGAUAAGUAAUGUGAAUUGCAGGAUUCAGUGAAUCAUCGAAUCUUUGAACGCACAUUGCGCCCGCCAGCACUCUGGCGGGCAUGCCUGUUCGAGCGUCAUUUCGACCAUCAGGCCCUCCGGGCUUGUGUUGGGGCUCCCUGCGGCUGUCCGCAGGCCCUGAAAACCAGUGGCGGGCUUGCAAAGUCACACCGAGCGCAGUAGAUUUUUUUCAUCUCGCUCAGGGCGUGCGUGCGGGCGCCGGCCGUAAAAGACGAGAGCGCGGCCUCGGCCGCCCACAAAUACCACAAGGUUGACCUCGGAUCAGGUAGGAAUACCCGCUGAACUUAAGCAUAUCAAUAAGCGGAGGA